AAAAAUGGAAGAAUCACGUGUAAAACCAAAAAGAGGUAAUUGAGGGGUGUUAACCCCUUUGCCCAUUUCACGUAGAACAAGUUGGGAAGGGAAAAAUUGAAAUCCCUAAUCCCCAACUCCUUCUUCUUUCUAGCUCCAUCUCCGGCGGUGGUGACGGGUUGUGCCUUUCCGGUGGCUUCGCUCCGAGCUUCUGUUUCGUUCUCCGAAUCUCUCGGUGGUUCCCGGUGGAGGCGAGACGGAACCAGUGGUAGUGCGAUGAUGCUUCUUCGCGAGUUCUUCUUUUCCAUCUCUCUCGCAGCAAGGGGAAUUGAAAUCCCCCAACUUCGUUUUUAUCCUUUUCAAUGCCAGCUUCAAAUUGAUGGAGGAAGACAAUAAUGUCAAUCCUCCAAGGCUUUCUCGGCUAAGACGUGGUCUCAAAACCACCACCCCGAAUUUGAAUCGGGUGGUUCACGAUGGCUCAGCCUCCCCCCGAUGGGUUACGGCGGUUCCGAAUCGGGUAAUCAUUGCUUUAUUAUUUUUUUUGUCAAUUUCCUACUUUCUAUUGAUUCUCGGUUCCUAUUUUUAUGAACUCAUGCACUUUCUAUUGGCCUUUACAGAGUGAUGAUCCGGGGUCAUUAAUGGUUGAGCCAGAACCAAUUAAGGCAUACCGAAGACCUACGCCAUGCCGACUAAGUCGAGCAUCUCCCCUUAGCGAUCACUCGCAACAGAUCAGAGGAGAGGUAAUCAUUCUCCUUUAUUUACAAUGAAUCCUUACCCUUUGUAUGAACUUCAUUAAGGUUCCGAUCAGUAAUAACAAGGGAAUAAUCCCUUUUCUAUGAAGAUUUUGCCUAAUCCUAUUGAUGGUACUAAUUGAUGGAAACAUAUAGGCUAAAACAAAUUUCAAUCAUGCUUUUUACAUUCCAAUCCACUAUAUGUAUACGUGUUUCUGUGUUAUGAUCGAUUAUAAACAGUUAUGAAUUAAUCAUACAAGUCUAACGUGUAAGCCAUAUAGAGCGGGGAGUGUUCAUAAAACAAAAUUUAUGGUUUUGAAUGCUUACCUGAGUAUGCUCUCCUUCCUGUGUUGUAGGUGUAUGUAGCCUGAUAUUUCUGUGUGCUGGUGUAGGCGUGGAUUUUCUGAUUGGUUACGAGCUUUGUACGUCACUCUGCUUCUGUGUAAUCCGGUUUAUUUUCUUUAUAUAGCUCUCUGAUUUAUUAGAUGUAUGAUAUUUGUGUUGUAAUCUCUGCCUCUGUUGUGAUGUAUAUGUAUCUGUAAUCUCUGUUCUCUUUUUAUCACUGUUGCAAUGUCUCUCUGAUUUCUGUAGGCUUGUGUAUAUCUCGUUUCUGCUUUUUGUUUCUGGAUGCUUUACUGCACUAUCUCUUGGCUGAUUUCUCGUGGUUAUGUAUGCGUAGCUAUGUUGUGUGUCCCUGAAUGUGUUCUUAUCUAACGUUGCUUUUACUGACUUCCUGUUGAGUUCUUGCUUUUGUUCUCUGGUUCCUGCCUUUUGUUCUCUGGUUCCUGCCUCUGUGUGUAUUUGGACUGAUGUGUAUCUGCUUGAUCUUUCCUAUUUUUGUGUUCUCUUUUCUCACGGAGUCCCCCUCUCUUCUGAUUAUUUCUGCCCGUUUAUAAUGCUUUAGGUUUCUAUGUGAAAACCUCUUGGGUUGCUCCUUAGGAUUCAGCAACGUACGUGGCUUUUUGCUUUCUGAUUUACUGCCUUCAGGUUUCUCAUGAAUGCUGCCAUUUAUGCUGAUUAUGACUGUGUGUAUGCGUAACUGCAAGGGGCAUAACCUCUGGUUUACCACCGCUUCUUUCAUGUAUAACCUUUGGAUGUUUGCUAUGGAUAUUUUGCACUUAUGUUGAAUAUGUAACUGAAGGGAAAGAUAUCAAUAGCAAUAAUUCCUGUUUGCAUCUCUUCAUUGCCAUCUUUUACAAUUCUACUGAUUAGGAUUCUCGGCUGAAUCAUUUUUCUCUCCUUUCUUGCAUUUAAUAAUGACUCGAAAUGUAACAGCCUGCAGUGGUAGUGUAUGUGCUUUACCUGACAUUUGGUUUCCCUUCAUAUAAGGUUCUGAACGUGGCUAAUAAAGAGCCAUGCUCUUGGUAAUUUGAAGUGUUGUUGAAGGUACACCACGUGCUGCUGAUGAAUUGAGGAUUUUACUCAAAGCAUGAUUAGGACCUGGCUCCCAUUCUGGACACCCUGCAAUAAUAACGCCACGUCCAGCUACCUUUCCAUUUGUAGCAUUUGUGAUACUGCCAUCUUAAAAUUAUGUAGAAUAUAGAUUAUGAGUUACUUCCAAGAGUCUAGUCACUGUUUUCUUUUGAUCCAUAUCAACAGCAGCUUCGAAGGCCUCCAUAGAACAUUUGUAAAUGGUUGGUGAAUGAGGGACGAUACAUUCCUUCAUGGGAUUGAUUUAUUUGAGAGUUUUAAGCAUUUCGACGCAUAUGAUCAUUUGUUUGCUACUUUACUUUUUUGAAUAUGCAAGUAGUCCAUUAUUUUCUUGC
rnacentral:lncRNA from 1 species